ensembl:processed_transcript Gm15764 predicted gene 15764
CGCCUCUGUGACUCCUGGGUUCACUGAACCAGCAUCCUGCCACUGAAGGACAACCUGCUGGUCCAGAUCAAAAGUCAAUAUAUGACAAUAAAACUACAGGAACAAGGGCUGGAGAGUAGCUCAGCCUUCAAUCCCAGCACUUGGGAGGAGGGUAGGUUGAUCUGUGAGUUCAAAGCCAACCAGGUCUUCAUAGUGUCCAAACUACCCCCAAAUUAAAAAUUUCUAAAAAA